rnacentral:sRNA from 1 species
AUUGUUCAACACAGACAAAUGGCAAGGGCAUCAAAAAAGAAGUAAUACA